rnacentral:lncRNA from 1 species
CAAACUGUUGGCUCGACAUAUGGCUUUCAACACUGUUCCUUUGUCCAACUUACCUGGAAUGUAAACCAAAGUAGUCAUUAUAAGCACAUAAUCAAUUAUAGUGGCAAUGGUCAAUCAAAAUACUAAAACCAAAAGCAAUUCCAACUUCUAUACUGUUUGUUGUCAUUUCUCAUGUACUUUGUGAUGCUGCCAACACAUAAAUUCCAUUAGUAGAUGUAUACUGUAGUUGCAUAUUAAUAAUUUAAAUGUGACAACAGUUACCAAAUCAUAUGACACCAAUCAUUCCAUUAGAAACUACAUUAUAAUUCACAUAUUAUACCUGUAAUUACAGUGACCACCAGCUCCAUUCCAGUCAUCCUAUUGUUAUAAAAAAAACCCUAAAACAAAAGGUAAGUUAUAGGGAAAAUGUCAUUCUUUAAUAAGCUAUUAUACAAAUGUAAGAUGACUCGUGGAAGAGAUAUUUCAUGAAUCAAAUAACUGACCAUAAUAGGUUUUGGCUACAGGGUAUAAUGAAACAACCAUAGUAAAAUGACAGCUUGAAACGCAAUUUCAGGCCCUAAGGCUUUGUCAGCACCAGCACC